GUGGCUGUUAGGCCCGGCGGCUGGCGUCAGCCCGUGCCGGCACCUCUAAUGCUGGGCGGGUAGAGCCGCCCGGGGGUCUCCUCCCAGUAGCCUGUACGGAUCUGAGGUGGUCUUGGGCCGACGGAGGAGAGCGUCGGGUCAGAUGUGAGCGGGAAGGGCUUCGCUCAGAGGGCGGUGAGGACUGGCACGGCUGGCCGGGGAGCCGGGGGUGCCCCAACCUGCAGGCACCCACAGGCUGGGGGGCCCUGGGCAGCCUGACGUGGUGGCUCUGGGACCGGGUGGGCUCUGAGCUCCUUCCAGCCCGAACCGUGACGUGAUCCGAAGGAAAUACUGCGCUCCUCCUGGGCUCGGGGUGACGUGCUGUGUGCGGGCUUCUUGCAGGGCUCAGCGCCGGGCACACGCAUUCUGUAAGCUGUUGCCCAUGGUUUCUGUUGCGUGGAAAAGCUUUUAGUGAGCUACUGAUGCUCCUUGGAAAAAGCUUCCUUCUGUAUGGAGAACUGUAUGGAGAAAAACAGCUGCCUAGUGUAAAUAAAUGAAAUAAUCAGCCAGUGCAGCUACUGGUGGGUUCAAAUAAAUUAGAAAGGGGUAAAUUGCACUUAGAAUUUCCCUUAAUAUUACGUAUUGGAAAGACCAAGCACAUAUGCUUUCCAUUCCUGGGCUUGGCUUUUCCAAGAAUAGAGUCUUGUAUUAGGUUAAAUUUAAGUUUGAUGUUUUGUCUCAGGCUAGUGUUGGAGAUGCGUGUUUCUGAUUUGAUAACUUAAAAAAAAGUGAGGUAUUGUAUCAAAAUUGGGGAAUGUUCAUUUGUUUCCAGAGAAUUUACACUCAAAUUAUUUCAUAAAGUGUCAUGAAUUUUUUAUUUCAAGAGUAAAACAGAAAUUCUGUAAAAUGACGUGAAAACAAUCACAGAAUUGUUUGAGUUGGAAGGGACCCUUAAAGGCCACCUACUGCAACUCCUUGCAAUGAACAGGGACACCUGCAGCUCCAUCAGGUGCUCAGAGCCACGUCCAGCCUGACCUUAAGUGUCUCCAGGGAUGGGGCAUCCACCACCUCUCUGGGCAACCUGUGCCAGCGCCUCACCACCCUUAUUGUAAAAAACACCUUUAUGUUCAAUCUGAAUCUUCCCUGUAUGGAUUCACAAAUGUUCACAGAUGCAGGAUGAACAAAUAUCAGAGACUCAGAAUUACUGGGGUCAGAAGGGAACUCUGCAGGAGAAUUUCCAAAUUCAUCUCAGAGCAAGAGCCCGUUGCUUUUGGUGUUCAGUUCAGUUCAGUUUGGAAGGCCUCCAAAGCCUGUGCUGGUGAUCAACCACCCUCCCUGUAUAAACAUAUAUUUUUAAAUUAUUAUUAUUUCUGCUAUCUCAGUCUGUGUUCAGUGUUCAGUUCUGUUGCAUCUCCUCCUGUCACUGGUCACCACUGGGAAGUCUGGCUGUGUCUUCACUCUGUCUCAUCAUGGUGAUGCUUACACGCAGUGUUGAGGUCCCCAGGACCUCAGGGAGUCUCUCUCAGAGCUGAGCUGUCCCAGAUCUCAGACUGACCUCAUGCGGCAGUGUUUCCAAACACUGUAGGUAGAUGACUUCAGUGAAUUAUUUAUUAAAAGAAUAUGUAGGAGAGGAAAAGGAAAAUAAGUAUUUCUUGUAUUCAUCAGUCCAAAUCUUAAAAAAAAUAAUAAAUAAAAAGCAGUUCACUUCUAAUAUAACCAACAGCAAUUGAUUUUUGGCACUCCUAAUACAGGGCAAGAGCACCAACAGCCUCUUGGAGUGCACCCUCAGCUUUCAUUAACUUUCUUCUGUGGUAGCCUGGACAGUAUUGUGCAGUUUUUGGUCUGUAUUAAGUUAUAACAUGUCAUCAUUUUAUUAUCAAAGGGAAUGACUCAGCCUUGCCACCAUUUGUAGGAUUUGAUUUCCCAGGCAACGAUGCAGUUUAUUACAGUGCUAAAAUUAAUUAUAUCUGCCCUCUUAAUGUUUGCUUGGGGCUCAAUAUCUGGACGGCCAUUUUCAAAACAAAGGGAUUUAUGUCUCGGAUCAGGUAUCAUAAAAAAACAGCUGUAACAAAUAAAGCACAGCUCUGUUAUGAGUCUAAGUAGUUCCUUCUGUUAGAAGCUUUUGAAUGCUUGAUUUAUGUGAAAAAUGACCUAAUGUGCUCGCAUUUAAGAGAAUUCUAGCAUGACAAUUUAUUAUUUGUGGGCUGUAUUAACAAUCAAAUUUCAGAUUCAUAAGCAUUUGGAAGAGAAAGUUGGAAAUGGAAAUGCAGCGAUGAGCUCUGUAGGCUGGUGUGCAGAAUGCAGGCUGUGCUGGAGAUGGCACAACGCUGAGUGAAGGGCUCCCACCAGGUGAGGCCAAGGUCCCACACGUUACCUGGCUUAGUGUGGCAGCUCCCUGCUGCCUGUCCUUACCCUCCGUCACAGGAUUUCUUUUCUCCUCCUUUCUGCCAGGCGUGUCCCUUAUUGGAUGCUUCCAAAAACAAGUGAAAUUCCCUAGUUGAGGAGAAAGCUAUCCGGCUGGGAGCUGGUUUUAUGUCACUGUAUUGCAUUUGACAUGCUCUGAGCAGAUCCUGUGGCUGUAGACCUGGAGCAAGGUGAGAGGUGGAAGUGCUGCCCAGGUGUGGUGGGGAGAGGGAGGAAUGCAGCAGAGUCUGACCCCACUGCUGGCAGUGAGGUGGUCAAUUGCUUCACCUGCUCUUUGCCUUUACUUAGAUUUUGAGUGCUGAGAAAUGUCUUGCUUCUCUGGGAUGCUGUGUUCUGUGCGAGCCCCCCCGGUACGCACUGAAAGAAAAUGGAAGCUUUUAGCUGAGGUUGUGAGCUGGAGUGAGACGCUGUAUGUGAGUGAGUCUCUGGCCUUUAUUGCUGGAAAGAGAUAGCCAAAUUCUGAAUCAAACAUUUCCAGAUAUGAAUGUCUUGAGAACUGAAACAGGUGAUUUCAGAAGUGUGAAUUUCUGCCUUAAGAAUUGUUAGCACACAUUCCCACUGAAGUGGUUCUGUAAAUAGUGAACUUUAAUUGCUUACUGGGACAUUUCAGAAAGGUAUGAAUGAGAUCAAGAGUUGGUGCCUCUGGGGUGCAGGACUGGGCAAACCUGCUGCAGCCAUGCAGGGAAGAGCACUGCCAGUCCUUGUCAAUGAAACAAUUACUGUAUGGAAGUUGUGAUUGAAAGGGGAAAACAAAAGAAGCCAGCUGAUGUUGUGUUACUUAAAACUUUGUAGGCACAAAAGAGAAGACGAAAAUUAAUGGAAAGAGAAAAAUAUAGAAAUGAGUGGCACAGAUGGGCCUGGAAAAUCAGUGGAAAAGACAAAUCCCCUCCCUGGCUGUUUCCUGGAUUAACAAAGUCCCGUCCUCAAACAAGACACAAAGAGGUCUGAGGAGGUGAGCAUCUACACGGCAUUGACACGGUCCUGCUCAUGUGUUCAUGGGAAUGUUUCAGUGAAUAAGUAUUAACAGCAGAGAAUUCCAGGCGAUCUGAGUGUCUGAGCAGGUCCCUGGGUAUGUUGCUCUUCAGCUCGCCGUACAUCUCUUUGAGCUUCCAGCCUGUGGCGUGCACAGUUCCUACUAACAACAACAGAACGAUAAAGAUGAAUCCCACGCACCAGAACUGACAUUUCAUUCUCUUUCCUGCCCCAGGAUCAGGUCUUAGCACUGAGAAACUCCUGGGGUCUGCAGCAUGUCACAGCAGUUCUAUGCUGACAGCGUAUCUGUUGGGACACACAUCCUCUGUUGUCAGAGCACAGCCACAGCAGCAGCCAUGUUUUAUUCGGCUCUGUUCUGGGGCUCCCACAAGUGUGCAGGAAGUUUCUGAGAGCAGUGCCAUAUCCUCCAUAGCUGAGGGUGAUGUCGUGUGAUCCGUUACAUGUGUCCUGCUUCCAGAAAUAUCACAAUGAAGAGUUGAGUGAAACUUUUCUCCAGAAUAAGUAGUUCCAUGUGGCAAGCCCUGCUGAGAGUAAAGAAAAGCUUCAGCACCCAGAGAUCCAUCUGCAUCUCAGAAAUGCCUUUUGUGGCUCAGUGUGUAGGCCAGGAAACAACUCUGUCACCUUUUUUUUUGCUGCUUAAUACCAGAAUGUUCUGCUGCUAUAAACUGUCUGCAACAUUUUGAAUAGUACAGCGUAAAACUGAAUUCCUCUCUGAAUGCUGCAUUGCACAUAUUGCACUAUCCACUUGAUUUUUUUGUUUGUAUGUUUCGAGAAAGGAAAUAUCCAUCAUGGGGAAUUUAAAAAACGUGAAGUUUGAGCCCAGGAUGAAUUCUGACGGCUUGGUUACCAUCAGCCCCUCAGAGCUGCAGCUUAGUGGAAACACUGACAUAAUCUCUACGAUAGCGGUGGGAACAGUGCCAGUGGAACAGAGAGUCUCGGGGGCGUAGCGUGAGGCAGAAUCACAGUGGUUCCCCACAUCACCACUUCUUUGAAAAUAAACCUGAUGGAAAAUUUGUGCACACCUGUUCCUUUGACUAAGAAGGGAGUCACCUCUUUGCACCAGUGGCUGUUGUUACUGGGUGUAUUACAUUAUCACAUUGCGUUUUG